rnacentral:rRNA from 1 species
UUGGGCGUUAAGUUGCAGGGUAUAGACCCGAAACCCGGUGAUCUAGCCAUGGGCAGGUUGAAGGUUGGGUAACACUAACUGGAGGACCGAACCGACUAAUGUUGAAAAAUUAGCGGAUGACCUGUGGCUGGGGGUGAAAGGCCAAUCAAACCGGGAGAUAGCUGGUUCUCCCCGAAAGCUAUUUAGGUAGCGCCUCGUGAACUCAUCUCCGGGGGUAGAGCACUGUUUCGGCUAGGGGGCCAUCCCGGCUUACCAACCCGAUGCAAACUGCGAAUACCGGAGAAUGUUAUCACGGGAGACACACGGCGGGUGCUAACGUCCGUCGUGAAGAGGGAAACAACCCAGACCGCCAGCUAAGGUCCCAAAGUCAUGGUUAAGUGGGAAACGAUGUGGGAAGGCCCAGACAGCCAGGAUGUUGGCUUAGAAGCAGCCAUCAUUUAAAGAAAGCGUAAUAGCUCACUGGUCGAGUCGGCCUGCGCGGAAGAUGUAACGGGGCUAAACCAUGCACCGAAGCUGCGGCAGCGACACUUUAGUGUUGUUGGGUAGGGGAGCGUUCUGUAAGCCGUUGAAGGUGUCCUGUGAGGGGUGCUGGAGGUAUCAGAAGUGCGAAUGCUGACAUAAGUAACGAUAAAGCGGGUGAAAAGCCCGCUCGCCGGAAGACCAAGGGUUCCUGUCCAACGUUAAUCGGGGCAGGGUGAGUCGACCCCUAAGGCGAGGCCGAAAGGCGUAGUCGAUGGGAAACGGGUUAAUAUUCCCGUACUUGGUGUUACUGCGAAGGGGGGACGGAGAAGG